UGCAGUCGUACGCUAGCCGCUGAAUUGAUCCUUCGGGUGAAGUGAGGCAAUGACUAGAGUGGCGAACUGGUGAGUAACACGUAAGAAACCUGCCCUUUAGUGGGGGAUAACAUUUGGAAACAGAUGCUAAUACCGCGUAACAACAAAUCACACAUGUGAUCUGUUUGAAAGGUCCUUUUGGAUCGCUAGAGGAUGGUCUUGCGGCGUAUUAGCUUGUUGGUAGGGUAGAAGCCUACCAAGGCAAUGAUGCGUAGCCGAGUUGAGAGACUGGCCGGCCACAUUGGGACUGAGACACUGCCCAAACUCCUACGGGAGGCUGCAGUAGGGAAUUUUCCGCAAUGCACGAAAGUGUGACGGAGCGACGCCGCGUGUGUGAUGAAGGCUUUCGGGUCGUAAAGCACUGUUGUAAGGGAAGAAUAACUGAAUUCAGAGAAAGUUUUCAGCUUGACGGUACCUUACCAGAAAGGGAUGGCUAAAUACGUGCCAGCAGCCGCGGUAAUACGUAUGUCCCGAGCGUUAUCCGGAUUUAUUGGGCGUAAAGCGAGCGCAGACGGUUUAUUAAGUCUGAUGUGAAAUCCCGAGGCCCAACCUCGGAACUGCAUUGGAAACUGAUUUACUUGAGUGCGAUAGAGGCAAGUGGAACUCCAUGU
rnacentral:rRNA from 1 species